GCCUCCGUGGUGUAGGGGAAAGCACGGCAGACCGGAUAUCUGUAAGGGCGGGUACGAGUCCCGCCUGAGGUU
rnacentral:tRNA from 1 species